rnacentral:tRNA from 1 species
GGAAAUGUGGCUCAGUGGUAGAGCACUUAUCUUACAUGUGAGACCUUGGGUUCCAUCUCCA